rnacentral:piRNA from 1 species
UGGUGAAUCAUUUUCNGAGGACAGCCUACU